rnacentral:tRNA from 1 species
GCGGGUGUAGUUUAGUGGUAAAACCUCAGCCUUCCAAGCUGAUGAUGAGGGUUCGAUUCCCUUCACCCGCCCA